rnacentral:rRNA from 1 species
GACGAACGCUGGCGGCGUGCUUAACACAUGCAAGUCGAACGGAAAUGCCCUGCUUUUGUGGGGUGCUCGAGUGGCGAACGGGUGAGUAACACGUGCGUAACCUGCCCUUGACUUUGGGAUAACUUCAGGAAACUGGGUCUAAUACCGGAUAGGAGCUCCUGCUGCAUGGUGGGGGUUGGAAUGUUUCGGCGGUUGGGGAUGGACUCGCGGCUUAUCAGCUUGUUGGUGGGGUAGUGGCUUACCAAGGCUUUGACGGGUAGCCGGCCUGAGAGGGUGACCGGCAACAUUGGGACUGAGAUACGGCCCAGACUCCUACGGGAGGCAGAAGUAGGGAAUAUUGCACAAUGGGCGGAAGCCUGAUGCAGCAACGCAGCGUGCGGGAUGACGGCCUUCGGGUUGUAAACCGCUUUCGCCUGUGACGAAGCGUGAGUGACGGUAAUGGGUAAAGAAGCACCGGCUAACUACGUG